rnacentral:lncRNA from 1 species
UUAAAUUGUCAAGAUGGUGUCUUGUUGGUGAAGCUUCUGCACUGGAACUAUUUCUAAGGCUAGGUCUGUGAGCUGGAGACUGACAGAUGCUUGGAGGGGAAAGCAGAGAAGACAUUUCAUCUCCAACUCUGUGUACCAUCCUAUUCAGCUGUUCCAGCUCCUGUUCAUCAUACUGCAUCGAACAAGCCAGCUCAGCCUCUGUGUUCUCAGCCUUUGCUGAGAGCUCCUUCGCUGGCAAAGUUGCAGUUAUGCCCGGUGUGAUGACAGAGGGUACUUCAGGAUCUGUUCUGACAGGAAAAUCCACAUCUUGAGAGAUGCACAGGUUACGCUCCAGUGUGUGCAGUUCAUCCUCGGUUAAUGUCUG